AGAGUUUGAUCCUGGCUCAGGAUGAACGCUGGCGGCGUGCUUAACACAUGCAAGUCGAACGAAGCAUUUAAGACAGAUUUUUUCGGAAUGAAGUUUUUUAUGACUGAGUGGCGGACGGGUGAGUAACGCGUGGGUAACCUGCCUCACACAGGGGGAUAGCAGUUGGAAACGACUGGUAAUACCGCAUAAGCACACAGCUUCGCAUGAAGCGGUGUGAAAAACUCCGGUGGUGUGAGAUGGACCCGCGUCUGAUUAGGUAGUUGGUGAGGUAACGGCCCACCAAGCCGACGAUCAGUAGCCGACCUGAGAGGGUGACCGGCCACAUUGGGACUGAGACACGGCCCAGACUCCUACGGGAGGCAGCAGUGGGGAAUAUUGCACAAUGGAGGAAACUCUGAUGCAGCGACGCCGCGUGAGUGAAGAAGUAUUUCGGUAUGUAAAGCUCUAUCAGCAGGGAAGACAGUGACGGUACCUGACUAAGAAGCUCCGGCUAAAUACGUGCCAGCAGCCGCGGUAAUACGUAUGGAGCAAGCGUUAUCCGGAUUUACUGGGUGUAAAGGGAGUGUAGGUGGUAUCACAAGUCAGAAGUGAAAGCCCGGGGCUCAACCCCGGGACUGCUUUUGAAACUGUGGAACUGGAGUGCAGGAGAGGUAAGUGGAAUUCCUAGUGUAGCGGUG
rnacentral:rRNA from 1 species